rnacentral:rRNA from 1 species
GACAGAGGGGGCAAGCGUUGCUCGGAAUUACUGGGCGUAAAGGGCGCGUAGGCGGGAUGGCAAGUCGGUCGUGAAAUCCCUCGGCUCAACCGAGGAACGUCGAUCGAUACUGCUGUUCUUGAGGAUUGCAGAGGAGACUGGAAUUCCCGGUGUAGCGGUGAAAUGCGUAGAUAUCGUAAGGAAGACCAGUGGCGAAGGCGAGUUCCUGGACAGUUGCUGACACUGAGGCACGGAAGGCUAGGGGAGCAAACGGG